GGGGAUUUAGCUUAGCAGCAUAAGUGCCUGCUUGGCAAGCAUGAGGUCCUGAGUUCAAUCCUCAGUACCA
rnacentral:tRNA from 1 species